rnacentral:rRNA from 1 species
UUCCUACGGGACGCAGCAGUAGGGAAUAUUGCUCAAUGGGGGAAACCCUGAAGCAGCAACGCCGCGUGGAGGAUGAAGGUUUUCGGAUUGUAAACUCCUUUUGUUAGAGAAGAUAAUGACGGUAUCUAACGAAUAAGCACCGGCUAACUCCGUGCCAGCAGCCGCGGUAAUACGGAGGGCGCAAGCGUUACUCGGAAUCACUGGGCGUAAAGAGUGCGUAGGCGGGGUAAUAAGUCAGAUGUGAAAUCCUGUAGCUUAACUACAGAACUGUAUUUGAAACUGUUACUCUGGAGUGUGGGAGGGGG